rnacentral:rRNA from 1 species
UCCCUACGGGAGGCAGCAGUGAGGAAUAUUGGUCAAUGGGCGGGAGCCUGAACCAGCCAAGCCGCGUGAGGGAAGAAGGUACAGCGUAUCGUAAACCUCUUUUGUCAGGGAACAAAGGCGGGGACGUGUCCCGGCCCGGAGAGUACCCGGAGAAAAAGCAUCGGCUAACUCCGUGCCAGCAGCCGCGGUAAUACGGAGGAUGCGAGCGUUAUACGGAUUUAUUGGGUUUAAAGGGUGCGUAGGCGGGCUUUUAAGUCAGCGGUAAAAAUUCGGGGCUCAACCCCGUCCGGCCGUUGAAACUGGGG